rnacentral:lncRNA from 1 species
CCUCAUGAUCCACCUGCCUCGGCCUCCCAAAGUGCUGGGAUUACAGGCGUGAGCCACCGCGCCCGGCCUGUAUUUUUUUUUUUUUAACUGUACUAUGGCAAACUGAUUUGUCAUGAAAAACUUCCUGCUUUUCCAUGACUUUGAGGAUAACGUCCUUUAGCUAUCUGAUGUUAAAAGAAGAGGCUGGUUACUGCAGUAGAAUAUCAUAAUUCUGGGGGGGUUGGUACAUGUUUGGUUUACCCACAGUAGGGAGCAUGCUUACCAAAAGCAUGUGAAGCAUUGCUCUAAGUCUCUGGAUCCUUCUGCACAUCUCCAUCUACAUACUUCGUAGUCACAGUUCCUAAUAUCUCACCUGCUGUUAUCAUUGCCUACUUGAAAAUCUGGCAGGAAGGUUAUUAGGGAAAAGGAAAAGGGGAAUAUCAUUUAAGUUCCCUCACAACUGCUCUUCAAACACUAGCAGAGAAUGUUAGAAAGAAAAAGAGUAAGAAACAAAUGGAAGGAAAAGCUAAAAUAGACGUGAGGAAUAUGGAGGGAAACACGUUCCAACUUCCCCAUUCCUAUUAAUACUCCUUUCAUGCCUGGAUCAAAAAAGUGCUACCUCUUCACUCAUGGAGAGUUUUUGACUGCUUCCUGUCUUCAGCUCCUGGUCUAGUUUCUAAACGCCUAAUUUCAUUCUUUUGCUCAACCCAACCAGACCUGGUCCAGGCUACAGGAGCCAAGAACUAGAAACUAGCGUAGAUCUAGUAAGUGACAAGACUGAGAAACUUCAAGUCCCUACUCCCAAUGUUAGAUCUGCUGAAGAAGGCAUACGUGUUCCUAAGAUCUGAGGUUUGCACACUGAAUACAUUUUUUUUUUUUUUUUGAGAUAGAGUCUUGCUCUGUUACCCAGGCUGGAGUGCAGGGCAUGAUCUUGGCUCACUGCAACCUCUGCUUCCUAGCUUCAAGUGAUUCUCAUUCCUCAGCCUACCAAGUAGCUGGCAUUACAGGCACACACCACCAGGCCCGGCUAAUUUUUGUGUUUUUAGUAGAGAUGGGCUUUCACCAUGUUGUCCCAGGCUGGUCUCGGAAUCCUGACCUCAGGUGAUCCACCCACCUUGGCCUCCCAAAGUCUUGGGAUUACAGGCGUGAGCCACAGUGCCUGGCCACACUGAGUAAUUUUUUUUUUUUUUCAGACGGAGUCUCACUCUGUCGCCCGGGCUGUAGUGCAGUGGCGUGAUCUUGGCUCACCACAACCUCUGCCUCCACCUCCCGGAUUCAAGUGAUUCUCCUGUCUCAGCCUCCCAAGUAGCUGAGAUUACAGGUGCCCACCACCAUGCCUGGCUAAUUUUUGUGUUUUUAGUAGAGACGAGGUUUCACUAUACGUUGGCCAGGCUGGUCUCGAACUCCUGCCCUCAGGUGAUGCACCUGCCUUGGCCUCCCAAAGUUUUGGGAUUACAGGCAUGAGCCACUGUGCCCAGCCACUGAAUACAUUUUUAAAAGAGAUAUUUUCUUCAGUGUGGUUAGGGUGUGUGAUACUGUUAGUCUGGUCUUCAGAUAUAGCACAGGGUAAAAUACUAUCUUUCAUGGCCUGGCUUGGGAAUCUAACCACCAGGGAUACUAUGAAAAAUCCUUAAUAACCAGUAGGGUACAGGAGCCAAAACAACCAGUGUGCUCCUUCUUCUCUAUCUUACAACCAAAUAUCAUCAAAUGGUUUGGCUACAAUCAGCUCCUAUGGAAACCUGUUACUCCAGUUUCAAACAAAUGACUUAUAGUUGGCUCUAUGGAACCUUUUAGGGACUCCUAAUCAUAAAAUGAUUGCUCAGCAGGGCAGCUUAUGCUUGAUCUGCCCUGUUAAGAAAAAAAAUUUUUUUCAAAAUUUUCUUUUUCCCUCAUAAAAUAAACACCAGCUACUAUGGCACUUUCAAAGAACUACAACAGGAUAUUUCAUUCUUCAGGGGAGGAGACCCCACUUUAACUGCUGAUAAUCUGAAAUUUACUUCCAACCUCCUGGCAAGUACACAGCAAGGGCAACACUUUACUUAUGGCUUCCCUCCAUCCCUAUUAUAUUCUGUUAGGCAGAAAAAUAAACAUGGAAAAAGCUAAUAAAUGUUAAAUCCAUUCAGUACAUGCAUUUUAGGAUGAAGCUGGCAAGUUUCACUUAAACUGUAACCAAAAGUGUCUCCAAUAUUCAGCAACAACUAAGCUGGAUGAGAAGAAAAUGAGUUACUGAUAUAUUAUGCAUUUAUUCAUUCUCUACAUAGAGCAUGGAUGAGGUACAUAAAAUAUAUAGUUGGGAUUACUGUAUGUAUACAGGUUCUACUUUGGGCCUAUGCUAUCUUAAAAUUCACAAAAAUGACAAAUAAACCAGGGCUAGUCUUAUAUAAAUGUGGACUUUGAAUAAUACACUAACUGGGCUAUGGAAGCAUAAACAAACUGUAAUAGUGUACUUAAUGAUGAAACAAAAAACUGAAGAAAAUUCUACCAUGUAAUUAGUAUAUCUAUUGUUAUUUUUAAACCACUUUAAUACAUGAUUCAUCCUCAUAAACGGUGACAGUGAGAAUCAAAUUAUAUUGCUGAAGUUACAGGCACCAGAAGUCAAGAUUUUUGGAUUGCCUGCUUAAUAUGUAAAUCUGCAGACUUUCAGAUAAGGCUAUUUUAUUUUUUAUUUGUUAUUAAACAUUCCAGUAGCAUCAGAAAUGAGUUGACCUCUGAAGUAACUAUGAGAAUACUCUUUGGGUCUAUGUGUUUUGUGAAUACUGACAGUGAUUAACAGAAUUUAAAGAAAUUACAGUUUUGCUUUUGAUUAUUGUAAUACCUCACAAGGGGCAGGAGGAAAACUACAUUUUGUUGCUGGUCUUGGGUUAUUCUGAUGAUUUAUUAGGGGAGGCAGAGUAAGUGUUAGAGUGAGAAUAGAUUAGUACAUGUUCAUUUGUUAUGAUAUAUAGUAUAAAAUGUGACCAGAGCCUUUUCCUCUUUCAGAUUUUAUAAUUUACUCUCAAAUUUGUGGUUACAUAAAACUGAUGAAUCAAUUCAUAAAUCCAGGGAACCAAUAAUCCCUACAAAAGCAACGGACCUGGUACUCUAAAAUGUUACGCUACUGGCAGUAACAAGAUUAAAAGCUGGAAAUGUUUGAGCUGAAUGAAAAAUUUUAUUAAAAUUCAAAGUUAUCUAAAUCAUAAAUUUUUAAUAAAAUUAUCUAAGGAGAGAUUUUCUUUAGGAAACCUUAAGGAUACAUACAUUUAAGUAUAUCUGAGUUUUUGGGCAGUCUCCACCAUGUUUUCAUAUGCUGUCUAAUUAUUACCUAAAAAUGGCCCAAUUUUUGCUAUCAAAAUAUUCUUACUUCAAACACAAGUACCAUUCAAACAAUUCUGUAAUUCUUCUCAUUAUCACAAACUUUAAAAAUUGAAUAGCUUUACUUCAGAUAAAUUACUGGAAAAGCUUUGGUGAGAUGUUGAGAGAAUAGAGAAGAUCAAUAACACAUUAGGAUGUUUAGAAGUCACCAGUAGGACCACAAGCAUGGAGCAGUAGAAAAGGUUCAACAAAGCUUUCUUUGAGAGGAGAGAUGGGAAUGUGAACCUCAACGAGGUCUAGGUCAUUUAGGUAAAGGGAUAAAACACAAUCUCGAUGUGGGAAAGUGAUUGAGGAAGGGCAUCUUAGCAUAUGGUGGUGUUUUUGAUAUAUUUACCUGUCCUUUUCUAAAAUUUUCUGAAGUUCUAUGUCUCUGCAAGUUUUGAUUCAAUGAGGUCAGUAAUAAAUUACAGUAAACCACAAGGUUUAUUUUCAGAGAUGUGGGGUAACUUCAGAUUCAUGUUUAUAUCAUUGUUUUUUAAACCUAUUUUUUAGGACUAUUUGCAGCUCUAAAUACAAAGGAGUUUUUUAUUUCCCAUGUAUCUUAGCAGCUUUCUGGCAGUGUAGAAUUUUGAAGGAAGAUGCAUUUUUCUAGUGCAUAAUAUACAAAGUGCAUAAUAUACACUGUGGUUAAAUUUCAAUAGCCUCAAUCUCUGGAUUGAAGAUCUGGAAUUCGGAUACAUGAAAUGCUGAUUUUUAAAGUAUUCCAAUGGCCAAAAUGCUGAUGAAAAUGUUUUGUGGAAAAUAUAUAAAUUUUAUAUUAACAAAAGUGUGUUACUUUUAAAAAUUAAAAUAAGGAAAAUGAUUUAACACCUUUCAAAGGGUUAUCCUAAUGCAAAAUCCCUCUUUAAAUACAACUAAUUUAAAGUAGCACAUUACUGUUUUGUUUCAAACAGGCAAAUAUAAAUAUGAAAGCAUUUGUCUUAUUUUCUACAGUAACCUCUUUAUUUGAUAAAAUAGUCAAGUUUGGACAUUUUGAAACAAGCUAGAAUAAGUUUUAGCUUGAUUUAUAUAAAAAAAUGUAUUCAAUGAAAGAAAUUAUGUCUAAUAACAAAAAAUUCCCAACAAAUUAAAAUUAAAUAUUAAUAGAACAUUUUAUAAAAACUGAGUCACUCCUUGUUAAAUGCCACUUUCUUUUUUUUUGAGAUAGAGUCUCGCUCUGUUACCCAAGCUGGAGUGCAGUGGUGUGAUCUUGGUUCACUGCAACCUCUGCCUCCAGGGCUCAAGUGAUUCUCCUGCCUCAGCCUCCCAAGUAGCAGGGAUUACAGGUGCACACCACCAUGCUCGGCUAGUUUUUGUAUUUUUAGUAGAGACGGUGUUUCGCCACGUUGGCUGGGCUGGUCUCAAAUUCCUGACCUUAGGUGAUCCACCUGCCUCAGCCUCCCAAAGUGCUGGGAUUACAGGCGGGAGCCACCACACCCGGCCCAUUGCCAUUUUCACUUUUGAACAUUCACCUCAACCAGGCACACCUGGUGCCACCACUGAGGUAAUGCUAGGAAUGUGAGCCUCCUAUAAAACUGGCUCUACACACGUUGGCAAAGACCAAACAUUGGAAGUACACAGCAAACAGGGAAUAAGGACAGGCAACUGCAAAUCACCUCCACUACACACUUCACCCAUCUUCCUUCCUCCCUUACUCCCUCCCUCUCUCUCUUUCUCUGUUUCUUUAUUUUUAAGACAGAGUCUUGCGCUGUAGCCCAGGCUGGAGUGCAGUGGUGCAUGAUCUCGGCUCACUGCAACCUCCACCUCCCGGGUUCAAGCAAUUCUCAUGCCUCAGCCUCCCAAGCUGCUGGGAUUACAGACGUUCACUGUGACGCCCGGCUCAUUUUUGUAUUUUUAGUAGAGGCAGGGUUUCUCCAUGUUGGCCAGCCUCGUCUCGAACUCCUGGCCUCCAGUGAGCCGCCUGCCUCAGCCUCCCAAAGUGCUGGGAUUACAGGCAUGAGCCAUUGCAUCCAGCCAACUUCACCCACCUUUAAACUCCCCUUUAGGAAUACAGAGCACACUACAUUCACCCUCCUUCUUGCCUUCCAACAAGACAAUUCACAGCUUGGUGUCUGUUCCUUUAAUUAGGUCAGCUCCAAGCUGAGAUAAGCCUCAAGGAGUAGGUGUUUUAAUGGGAUAAGAAGAACGAAGUCUAGAGAAUUUAGGCCCUCAAUUUCAGGUGACCCAGCAUUUGUAUCCCUCUUUACCUCCACACCUGUCCUUUCUCCCUGUUUAUUAUGGAAUUCCUGAAUCCACCUGGUCAGAGAUUUCAUAUUCUAUCACUUGUAAAAGUCAUGUUAUUAAUUCAACGUGACUGAAAUAGCUGAGAAGCCUGAAAAACUGUAUUAUAUUUAAGAAGUUCUAUUAAGUAUUAAAAGUAAGAAAAUCUCUAUGAAUCCCACCUGAUGAUCCAAAUAUAUGGUGUUCCUUUGGAGAUGAUGUGAAAGAAUUUCAUUCUAGUAGGCACCAAUUAAGAAAAAAGGGACAGAGAAAGAGGAUGUGGAAUUCAAGAAAAGGUCAAUUUUGGAAUAAGAAAAACAGGUAAUUUACUACAACCUAUUAUAUCACAGUACACGACAACUUUCACGCACAUGCUCCCCUGUAAAUGGUACCGCUGACAUAUUAAAUUACAAAAUUAUAUUUUGUUUUGUAAGAAAUUACGUAGACAUGCAUAUGAACAAUGAACUAUUAAGCAGAAAAAUUCCUUAAAAUAGCUUUAGCAAACUGACUGUUAGAACUUUUACAUGUCAAUUAUUUCCUCUAAUAUAGUACUACUUCUUUAAAUAAGAUCUUUCUUAUAUAACCAGAGCUAUAAACCCUUUGAGAAACGGUUAUGUGUUCGUUCUUUUCAUUAAAAAUAAGACAUUUUAAAAUUAAUUUUUAACAUUUAAAAGGCAGUAUUAUUAAAGCUAUAAUGAAUUUUUAAUUUAUUGUUUUAUUGGAAAUUAUAGGACUUCUCAAUAUUUGUUUUACCAGAUAUGGAAGUCACAGUAUUCAGUGAGUAACAACAUGAAGUUAAUGCGUACAUGAAGUAUUGUACGCAUUGCCUUCCUCAAAACCAAAAGCCAGUGGGUGAGCGGGUGGGGUAGAAGGCUAAGAAGAAAUGCACCCUACCUGUAUUUUCUUUCAGUAAUGUAUAAAUAAGUUGAAUUCUCAAAGGGUUAAUAGGAGAUUCUAAUGUUGUCACUAUAAUGAUGGUAUGGGCUCAUGCUCAACACUAAUGAUGCUGAUCAUAUUGACUGAUGAGUGUUUCAAAAUAAGAGAUGAUGGCAGACGACACAGACAAAUCUCUCCAUAGCUGACCUUUGGGCUGUGGGCCUCAAGCUUUAGCUGCAUGAGCUGUGCUAACGUAUGCUCCCGGAUACUACUCAGUUCGGCUUGCUGCCGUCUCAGCUUUAUUAGCAGCAGCGUAAGCUCCUCUGGCUGAAGGAGUACAAUUUAAGAAUCCAAACAGUGGAAAACAGAUUAAUUGUUGUCUUAAGUGACAGAUAUUAAACCAAGAUUUCUUGGCAAGUUUCCUCUUAUGGUUGACAUCAAACAUAGUGCCUAGGCACUAUGAUGAUAGGUCCUACAUAAAUGCAUAGAUAUCUAGAGAAAUAGAAGGAACAGUGUUACUUUAAAAGAUACAGCAAAACAACAGUAAAUUAAGGCAUUUUCUCAGAACUCAUGAGAACAUUUAAAUGUUAAGUACAAAAAAGCACAAUGCCAAAAAAACAUUAUAAAGGUUUGUACAUAAGUGCUACUAAAAAAUUAUUAAAAGAUAUUUUACUAAGAUAUCUAAAAAAAUUACACCUUUUCCCAGCAAUAGUACAAAUACCUGCAUGUCCAACUUUCUAACAGAACUACAUAAAAUAAUUAAAAUAAAUGUAGUCCGGGCACAGUGGCUCACGCCUGUAAUCCCAGCACUUUGGGAGGCUGAGGGAGGCGGAUCACAAGGUCAGAAGUUCGAGACCAGCCUGAGCCCUGCCUCUACUAAAGAUUAAAGAAAAAUUAGCCAGGCAUGGUGGCACGCAACUGUAAUCCCAGCUACUCGGGAGGCUGAGGCAGGAGAAUCGCUUGAAUCCAGGAGGUGGAGUUUGCAGUGAGCCGAGAUCACGCCAUUGCAUUCCAACCUGGGCGACACGGCGAGACUCCAUCUCAAAAUAAAUAAAUAAAAAAAUAAAUAAAAAUAAAAUAAAAUAAAAUAAAACUUGGAUAUCUUCACAUUAUUAAAUUUGGGAUCUGGGUUCUAUUAAUUGCUUCCCAGUUAUACUCUGAAAUGUCACUGUUAGUGCUUUCAUAUAGCAUUUUUUAUGACCAAAAGAUCAGUUUUAUUUUUUAAGAAAAAGAGAGUUUCCAUGGGCACAUAAACCCUCCUUCUUCACUCUGGGAAAAGAAGAGAACCUUUUUUUGGUUCCUGAUUGGUGACUGUGAUCCAAAGGAAAAUAAAUUUUCAACAGUGGAUGAAAUUCCUUAAUGGGCCAAUUUAAUAUACUUUUCUUAGAAAUACAGUAAAGUAUGAUCAUUGGCAUUCUUAUAGCCCAUAAAAUAUUACUUGGUAUUUCUCUGAGCUUUGUUAUGAUUAACAACUGAAAGCAGGCUACAGGCUUUCCUCACUGGAGUGCUGCAAUGUACUCUUAAAAAUUCCAGGCUAAAAAGUAUUCCCAAGAUUGGUUUGUUUUGCCUACACGACAGCAUUGCAUUAACUCUCUUCCGUUCUGUUUAUUUGCUAUUGCUCUUUAUUUUCUGACAAUUCUUUUCAAAAACAGAAAUCAUUUUUAACCAUUAUCCAAAAUCAUAUUAAAAAUUAUUGCCUUCAGAAGAAAAAGUGUUAGCAGAAGUUACUAUUGGAUUCCUUAGAUAAAACUGGGUAUCCACAGGUGAGACAACAGUUUUUUACUGUAUAUUAAAUGGUCAAAGAAUAUUUGGUGUAUGAGAUUUAAAUAAACCAUGUAAGAGAAAAAGAACAGUUGCUUUUGCUCUGAUGCCAAUCCUAUCUCGUGACCUCAUGAUGCUAGGAUAGUCCUUGUUUUAUGAUCAUCAUCUCCAACACUUGAGGUCUUGCCAGGGAGAAGGUAAGAUGGGCAAAGGGAUUUAGAUAUUCUAAGAACCCAGAGUGAUACCGCAAGGAAUACUGAAACUCUGGUUUAUUAUUUAUGGAGCUAAACAGACUAAGAGAUUUUCAAAAGGAUGAAAGAUACCAAUAACUUUAUUUAGAUUUUGAGGCCAAAUAAAGAGGCACAUUUGACCAAAGAAAGUAGGUGGUGGUAAAUAAAUUUUGGCUAAAUAUCCACUAGAGGGAGCAAGGCAGAAGAGAAACAUUUGUGGUAUGCUAUUUAGCAUUUACUCUAUGAUUAAUGACUAUUUGUCAGGCCAACAAUCUAAUGUUUUAAGAUUCCCACAUUUAAAAGUCCUUAGUCUUAAUCAAAUAAUCUUUGGCAAAUAAACUGCAGGAAGCUUAAAGCAAGGAAAUAUUUCAUUUUAUCUAAAUGUGUAAAAGAUAAAAUAAAACAAUGUUUUUACAAAACACAUAAGAUGAAUUUGAUUACUGCAGGAAGAGAAUUUUAAAUAAUGAACAACUAUACACACAGGUGCUAAAAUCACAUCUUUACAGAAACUGAGGUUAUCUACUGACAAUAAAGCCAGUGCCCCUGAUAAAAGAAUACCAUUAAAAUAAACUGAAGUGAGGAAAAGUCAUCUUUUCUCUUUAACUAGAAGAAGUGUCCUGCUAAUGUAACUCCUUUCCAAUUAACAUAACACUGACAAUGAAAUGGUAAUGGUAAAUACUUGCUUUGAUCGAACGCUUGUUACAGUCUUUUUCUGCUGAUAUGUAAAUCAGUUUAUUUUACAAACAGCUCUAAAGAAGUUAAUCUAAAAAUUCACACGAAAAACUUAAUACGCUGGUAGUUUGACUACAAAUAACUGCUUGCUGGAUUUGUUCACUAAUGAAUUACUGCAACUUCUGUUUUAAGGAUAAGGGAAUGAAAGUAAAGAAACCCACCUAGUUCAUACAAUAAAGUUUCUUUUUUUUUUUUUUUUUUUUGAGACAGAGUCUUGCUCUGUUGCCCAGGCUGGAGUGCAAUGGCAGGAUCUCGGCUCACUGCAAACUCCACCUCCUGGGUUCAAGUGAUUCUCCUGCCUCAGCCUCCCAAGUAGCUGGGAUUACAGGCACGCACCACCAUGCCCGGCUAAUUUUGUAUUUUUAGUAGAGAUGGGGUUUCAACAUGUUGGCCAGGCUGGUCUUGAACUCCUGACCUCAAGCGAUCCGCCUGCCUUGGCCUCCCAAAGUGCUGGGAUUACAGGCAUGAGCCACCGUGCCCGGCCAUAAAGUUUCAAAAUAUAAUCUUUUAUUUGGCCAGUCAGACACUUAGGAAAAGGUAUCCACUAAAACACUGAAAUGGCUACAUGAUUUCAAAUUCUGAUGAGCAUCUCUUGCACAAAAGCAGUAAUGUUUUUUCUUUGGGAGAACCUCUGAAAAUUCAAACUUAAAAAUUAUGUUAGAUAUGUACCUUCCUGUGCAGCACAUAAAUAAAACAUGGUAUGGUAAAUAAAGAUAUUACUCACCGUUUUCCCUUGGAGGCUCUGGGGACUAACAGACUGUAAAGUCAGGCCAGCUGGCACUGACCUUCUGUCAGGCACAUAGACAUGCUAGGAAAGUAAAGGCACAAUGUAAUUCUGUGGUAAAGUUUUUUUUUUCUUAUCAAUGUCAGCAAGGAGAAAUCUUAAAUUCCUAUUAUGAAAUACCAUUUAAAAUUGCUAUUAGUGCUUAUGAAAGAUGAUAGAGACUAACAUUUCUUGACAUAAAAUACUGAUGUGGGGCUGGGUGCGGUGGCUCACGCCUGUAAUCCCAACACUUUGAAAGGCCAGGGUGGACAGAUCACUUGAGGUCAGGAGUUCGAGACCAGCCUAGCCAACAUGGUGAAACCCUGUCCUUUCUCUACUAAAAGUAUAAAAAAUUAGCCAGGUGUGGUGGCGUGGGCCUGUAAUCCUAGCUACUCGGAAGGCUGACGUGGGACAAGUGCUUGACCCCGGGAGGCAGAGGUUGCAGUGAGCCGAGAUAGCACCACUGCACUCCAGCCUGGGCAACAGAGCGAGGCUCCAUCUAAAAAAAUAAUGAUGUGGAUGAGCAGAGUAAUUCUUUUUUUUUUUGUUUUUUGAAGCAGAGUCUCACUCUGUUGCCCAGCCUGGAGUGUAUGGCAAGAUCUCAGCUCACUGCAACCUCCACCUCCUGGGUUCAAGAGAUCCUCCUACCGCAGCCUCUCAAGUAGCUGGGAUUACAGGCGCAUGCCACCACGUCUGACUAAUUUUUGUAUUUUUAGUAGAGACGGGGUUUCACCAUGUUGGCCAGGCUGGUCUCGAACUCCUGGCCUCAAGCAAUCCACCUACCUCGGCCUCCCAAAGUGCUAGGAUUACAGGCUUGAGCCACUUGCCCGGCCUGAACAGAGUAAUUCUAAAAUCUGGUUUAGAGGUUCUCAAAAACUCUUUGACCUCAGGAUCCCUUUAUAUUCUUAAAAAGAAAAUUUAGUGGCAAGAGUGGCAUUGUUUUACAGUUUUGCAAAUCUUUAAUGUCUGGCUGGAUUCUUGUAUCUGUUUCUGUAUUUAAUCUGUUGUGAUAAUCUCUUUUAGUGGAAGUAUGUGAAGAAAAUCUACCCUCAAUAUAUAUAGUUGGAAAAAAGGAGAGAAUUUUAAUAGUUUUUCUUGAUAAUUAUAGAUGUUCAUCUUUGACACUGCGCUAUAGCUCAAAAAACUGAUAUUUUUUAAAGGUUAGUUACAAAGUGAUAUCUGAAACCUUAUCAAUGAACUUUUGAUACUCUGUUACAUUAAUAUCCACUUGGUCUAUUUGUACUUUAAAUGAAUCUUGUGACAUCAAACACUGGUCAUCUGGAAAAUAUUGGUUCAGUGAGUUAUGCAAUGUUCUAAAUAUUGACAUAUGUCAGUAUACAAUAUAAAAACAUCACAACUGUUAAUAUCACCGCCAAUCUUUAAGCACCGGAAAGCUGUCAAGUUCAGGGUGGCAGAUACAUGAUUUUCAAAAUUCUAUUUUUUGCUUGAAAACUCAAACGUUGUUAUCAGUAACAAAUACUGUCAGUUGUUUUCCUUGAAGUGACAGGAUAGCAUUCACUUUGAGAAAGUGUGUCUAUCAAAUACCACGUCUGAAUAUUGACAGUUGUCUUUUGUUCAAGUAAAAAUAUGUUUCACAAUAAAAGGAACUAAUUCAGCUUGCAACUCCAUCAUGUGUUUUACUGUGAGACAACGGUUAGCACUUUGGUAUGCCAUAGAAAUGCUUUAUGCAUUUACCAUUUCAUCACAAGUAAUAGUAAAAGAAUAUGUAACAAAAUGUUAAGGUUCAAUAAAAUUAUUUUCUACUGUUUCAUGAAUGAGAUUUAUAAGUGAACCUGAUACUUUAUUUUUUACUUCAAGUGUGUGGCAGGGAGGGCUACAAUGACCACUAGCAUAGUCUGGAUCCACUGCCUUGAUUUAUGCUAAGGUGCCAGAAAUUUUACUCACCAUCGCUUCUGCACUACUAGAGCAAAUAGGAACACAAUGAAUAAUGCCUUAUUAUGAUCAUAAAAAUAGUUUUGACUCCCUGAAACGGUCAUGGGAGGGAACCCCCACAGGGGUCCAUGAACUACACUUUAAGAACCACUGAUCUAGAUCAAGGAAGAGGAUAGGAUAGUUUGAAAGAAAAAUUUGGCAAUUUUGGAGAAGUCUUUUGGGAGUAGCAGUAGCAGACAGUUGAGAAUUGGAUAGAGAAUAUAGAUUCAUCUCAUAUUUGCUGUCGAAACAGAUGAUAUAUUCUGGCCAAGAACAUGAAAAAUACUAUUAACCAUGAGAGCAUGUAAUUUAGAGCCAAUUGUUAGACCAUACACAUUAAGUUGUAUUAGAUCAGAUUUUUCUUAUAUAUUGUUACUAUUUUUAUCAAUCAUGAUUUAGUCUUUGGAAAAAGUGAGGAAACACUGAACUUUGUUACGAUGGAGUUCAAAGUGAGCCUUUUGUUGUGAGGCAAAUUAAAACUUUCUUCAAAGGAAAAUUCCUGAUUAAUCUAUUAAUCUUAACAAAUGCUUAUUUAUGGAAAUAUCAAGCAAAUGCUUAGGUAAUAACGCAGCUGAAGAAAUCAGCUUGUCACAAGGAUAAGAAAAGAGCAUUUUAAAACAGUAUAAAGCAAUAACUUAUUAUUACUAUUUUUUGAGUCAGAGUCCUGCUCUGUCUCCCAGGCUUGGGUGCAGUGGUGCAAUCACAGCUUACUACAGCCUCAACCUUCCAUGUUCAAGUGAUCCUAUGGCCUUGGCUCCCCAAAGUGUUGGGAAUACAGGUGUGAGCCACUAUGUCCGGUCAAAGAACUCUUCAGUAUGAAAAAAAAAGCACUUUAGGAUAGACAUUAGGGAACUGGUUGUGUACUAGCUGACUAAUCAAAGCCACUGCUUUAGCAUUAUGAAAAGCUGAUUGAUACAAAGCACUUUGAAUUCACUUCAAAUAAUCUAUACUAAGCAAUGCUUAAACCAACUUAAUAUACAAAGUAAAACAUGAUCUCCAUUUUUAAAAUGUAUACAUACCAUUAAGCUACAAUAUUAAAUCGAGUGUUUAAGGAGUUAUCUCAAUAUGCCAUAUAUUCAUUGGUUAGAAGAUAAAGUUAACACUUUUAUCCUCAUGAACAACAGGAUGAGCUUGAUACAAAAUUUCAGGUAUGCCAGAAGACAGUAGGUGUAGAAUUUCCAAGUGUGUAAAAAGCCAAUAAAAAUGAAUGUGGUCUAGGCCAGGCACAGUGGCUCACACCUGCAAUCUCAGCACUUUGGGAGGCUGAGGCCAGUGGGUCACUUGAGAUCAGGAGUUCAAGACCAGCCUGGGCAUCACGGUGAAACCACAUCUCUACUAAAAAUACAAAAAUUAGCCAGGUGUGGUGGCGCAUGUCUGUAAUCCCAGCUACUCGGGAGGCUGAGGAAGGAGAAUCGCUUGAGCCCGGGAGGCAGAGGUUGCAGUGAGCUGAGAUUAUGCCUCUGCAUUCCAGCCUGGGCAACAGAGAGAGACUCCAUCUCAAAACAAAACAACAACAACAACAAAAACAACAGAAAAAUGCAUGUGGUGUUAAGCUACACGGAGAACUGAUGAGAUAUGGUAUCAAGCAGAGAAAACAGAAUGCAUCUGCUCAAAAGAACUGCUCCUGUGUUCCUGAGAGAUGAAGUGUUGCAAUUAGGUAUUUUUUAUACAUGAGAUCUUAAUGUUGUAAAAUAUUUUUAUUUAUUUUUUAAAACAAAAAAGAGCUGCCUUGCUUACUUUAUCCCCAUUCUUUUGUCUCUCACAUUUAAAAUAGUAUACUAGAAAGAAAACACAGCAUUUAUAAGGUAGUGAGUUAACACAAAAUCAGCAGCUAUUUUACCUUAGGGUGAUGGGCCCUGUGUCUGCGGUCUAUUGUCACAUCUCCUCUCUGAAUUGGUGAAGACACUUCCG